CCUACGGGAGGCAGCAGUGAGGAAUAUUGGUCAAUGGACGAGAGUCUGAACCAGCCAAGUAGCGUGAAGGAGGAAUGCCCAAAGGGUUGUAAACUUCUUUUAUAUGGGAAUAAAAUCUGCCACGCGUGGGAUUUUGUAUGUACCAUAUGAAUAAGGAUCGGCUAACUCCGUGCCAGCAGCCGCGGUAAUACGGAGGAUCCGAGCGUUAUCCGGAUUUAUUGGGUUUAAAGGGAGCGUAGGUGGUUUGUUAAGUCAGUUGUGAAAGUUUGGGGCUCAACCGUAAAAUUGCAGUUGAAACUGGCAGUCUUGAGUAGAGUAGAGGUGGGCGGAAUGCGGGGUGUAGCGGUGAAAUGCUUAGAUAUCACGAAGAACUCCGAUUGCGAAGGCAGCUCGCUGGACUGCAACUGACACUGAGGCUCGAAAGUGUGGGUAUCAAACAGGAUUAGAUACCCUAGUAGUC
rnacentral:rRNA from 1 species